UAGCUCUUUCUUGAUUCUGUGGGUGGUGGUGCAUGGCCGUUCUUAGUUGGUGGAGUGAUUUGUCUGCUUAAUUGCGAUAACGAACGAGACCUUAACCUGCUAAAUAGCCCGUUCUGCUUCGGCAGUACGCUGGCUUCUUAGAGGGACUAUCGGCUCAAGCCGAUGGAAGUUUGAGGCAAUAACAGGUCUGUGAUGCCCUUAGAUGUCCUGGGCCGCACGCGCGUUACACUGACAAAGCCAGCGAGUAUUUCCUUAGCCGGAAGGCUUGGGUAAUCUUGUUAAACUUUGUCGUGCUGGGGAUAGAGCAUUGCAAUUAUUGCUCUUGAACGAGGAAUCCCUAGUAAGCGCAAGUCAUCAG
rnacentral:rRNA from 1 species